UACAACAUAGCGUUAAUGCAUCAGAUUUCAUUAGAACUCCACAGUUAAGUGCGCUCAUGCUAGAUUAGUACUGGGAUGGGUGACUGCUCGAGAUGUCCUACUGUUUUAC
rnacentral:rRNA from 1 species